UAAUUUUAAGACUCUGUCUAUCACAAGUAUAAUAGAAUAACUCAACGUUUUUUAAUUCUUUUAUGUCACGAUUAACAUGGUAAUUUGGUAAACGGUAAUGGUAAUUAACAUGGUCAUUUCUCGGCCACUAUGAAAUUUUUCAAACAAAUGGCAUUCGUCCCAGCUAUUAGAAGAUCGUACGCUACUUUCUUCCAACCUUCUAUUUUUUUCAAACUAAUUUCAAGUCUGGAUAAACUCCCUCGUCAGUCUCGAGGCUAUUCGUCCAGGAAACUUUAAAAUUUUUUAAAUGUUUCGAUCUUCUCAGGCUUUGUGACUAAUAACAGGUUUCACUAUAUAAUUUGAAAGAAGUAUAACGCAAGGAAUUUUUGAUCACGUGAAACGUUGUAACCGAGGAUUAUCAUCAUUAUCUUGUCUGUCAUGGUUGGUGCGAUCCCGAUAAGAAAAUUCGUUAUCGGUGCUAUGGGAAGGCAUAGCAUGUUUAUUACACCGAGAGGUUCAAGAUGCGUAUACCUCUUGGCCCCUGGCACGAAAGGGCCGCCGGUAGCCAGGGGUUUUAUGCAAACGAACUAUCAGCUGAUUCAUCACCACCGCCUCUUAAUUAUUACUAUUAACGUUCCUAUGACUUUCUCACCUGCGGUAGUUUCAAUACCUCCCUAGCAAUAUUUAUUGCGUGCUAUACCUGCAAUUAGAAUAAUUUUAUAGCAGCCAGGUUGAUAGGUGCCGUACCGAGAGAAAAUACAAAGAGGAAGGUUGCAAGUAUUCAUGGUCGUGAAGAUUACAGUAAAAAAAGAUAAAAUUUAUGUAAGAAGCCAGUGGCGGUUUGAAGAUUAACAAUUGGCCUUUUCCCCUUUAAUCUAUGCGGUGUACUGUGUUGCAACCGAUGCAUAUUAAUGACGCGUAUAAAACACGAAUGUUCUUCCACGGUUUCCGUUAUCCAUUUGAUUCUCUGCCAAGCUGGCAAAUUUCUUUCGCUGGGAUUAAAGGAACUCGCCGAGUAAAGCGGCUGCUUUAUAAAUAUUGGAACAUGCUCGUAAAAAAAAGGUAAUAAGUAUCCUUAAAUUAUCAGGGAAGAAGUUGGACCGAUCGAAUCGUUGGAGUCAUACAAAAUGACGAUCAAAAGCAUAUGAUAAAAGAUGAUGGAAAUUGCUUGUAAAGAUUGAAAACGAAUAAUGAGUUCGUAGCACUGUAAUCGAAAUUUUAUUCAAAGAAAUUUGGAGUAUCAUCAUGGAGGAGAAUCAUUUCGAAAACUAUCAAUGUAAUAAGAGAAUUCUAGUAAUAUAAAUUAAUAUCGAGCUUGAUAGAAACGAGUUAUCGAUGGACGUGGCGAAUGUAAAAACUUUGGUUGUACAUAAUUGAUGAGAUUACUGUAACGUUAAAUAUUGUCUGCUUACUUAUGAAUGGGGAUAUGGGCUUUUCCGAGGGUGUCAAGAGGUUCGCGCAAAGUCAGCAGCAACACGGCGAGAUUGCAUGCCAGGAGAAUGCACGCGAGCAUGCACACGUAAACACCGGAGCGUGAUUCUUGUCAGAGAUUUAUAUUCACCCACAACGGCGGAUAUUAAUUCCGUCCCUAACCCACGGGAGAUUCUUAUUAGCCGGAAUUUACGUAACAUCCACGAGAAGUUGUUAUUUCCGUGACUCGUUCCUUCGAUUAGCCACCAGGAAGCUGUUCAGUAUCUUUGGAAUGCACGUGGGUGUGACUGAUGCACGCGAAUUUUAACCCGCGAAGGUUGUGCUUGAUUCGACAGAUAAAAGCGAAAUAUUUUUGUACAAAUCCUUAACUAAGCACAUCGAAGUGCUUGUCGAUGGAGAAUAAUUGUUACUGAAUACAUAGUACAGUAGAGAAGUCUUAGGCUAUCUAUGAUAGUGAUUUUCUAAUGGCAAUGAAUUAUAGUUUUAAGAAGUAUUUCCAUAUGGUGCUAUAUGGAAAGAGUUUUUUAAUAUUUCCUUCAUAGAACUAGUACUACUUGUUUGUAGUUUCUUCCGGCCUGCGAAUUUUUUAGAAAUAUUGCAAUAAAUAAUGUUCUGGUUUACAAAA